AUGCUAUAUGUUGGCAAAUCGAACUCCAAUAAAAAAAUAUACCAAAAAAAAAAGAAAAAAAAAAGAAAAAAACACAUUUUCAGGAAUAAACUCUUUAACCAUCUUCUUUUCUCCCCAGUGCCAAUCAAGGAAAACGCUGAUUUUAGUUUCAGGACAUUGCAUAUGCAGCUCUUCCAGGCUCAUAUAACAUUUUGGACAGUUCAACCUCAUUUAUUCUACUCUGAAUAAAUCCAAAUUCAAUGGGGUGAAACCUAUGAGGGAAGACUUGCCUGUGGCUUGGCUGGAUGACCCAACCAUGAAAUGCUAUUGACAAGAUAUAAUUCUUGGCCUCCAAUAAGAAUGUUUAAAAUGUUUUUUUAAUCUUAAAAAAUUCAUCUGUGACAUUUCUAUUGUUUCACCUUUUGAAGUUUCUAAAAGGUUUGGGAAAUGAAAAAGGAUGAUACAAUAAAUGAUUACUUGUGGAUUGAGGAGAAAAACA
rnacentral:lncRNA from 12 species